AGAAUCUAGCACUUCCCACCAACACAAACAAGACCUUCUCGUCAAUACUCUUCAUCAGCACCGUGUCACUUCAUGGAAACAGAUCUGAUUGGAACAGGACAAAUGGCAAUGACAGCUUACUUCAAGGGAAGGCUCUUGGACAAAAGAAGAGAUGGCCCAAAAUGAGAGGAGAGGAG
rnacentral:lncRNA from 1 species